rnacentral:misc_RNA from 1 species
GAAAUGCGAUAAGUAAUGUGAAUUGCAGAAUUCCGUGAAUCAUCGAAUCUUUGAACGCACAUUGCGCCCCCUGGCAUUCCGGGGGGCAUGCCUGUCCGAGCGUCAUUGCUGCCCUCAAGCACGGCUUGUGUGUUGGGCCGCCGUCCCCGCCUCCCCGGGGACGGGCCCGAAAGGCAGCGGCGGCACCGCGUCCGGUCCUCGAGCGUAUGGGGCUUCGUCACCCGCUCUGCAGGCCCGGCCGGCGCCGGCCGACCACCAACCCACUUCUUAAGGUUGACCUCGGAUCAGGUAGGAGUUACCCGCUGAACUUAA